rnacentral:rRNA from 1 species
GACGGAGGGUGCUAGCGUUGUUCGGAAUCACUGGGCGUAAAGGGCGCGUAGGCGGCCUUGCAAGUCGGUUGGUGAAAGCCCGGGGCUCAACCCCGGGAGGCGGAUGGAUACUGUUUGGCUCGAGUCCGGAAGAGGCGAGUGGAAUUCCCGGUGUAGCGGUGAAAUGCGCAGAUAUCGGGAGGAACACCUAUGGCGAAGGCAGCUCGCUGGGACGUUACUGACGCUGAGACGCGAAAGCGUGGGGAGCAAACAGG